UGGUCUAGUGGUUAGUAUUUAGCACUUUCACUGCUAUGGCCCAGGUUCAAUUCCUGG
rnacentral:tRNA from 1 species